rnacentral:rRNA from 1 species
GGCACCAGGCGCGAAACCUCCGCAAUGCUCGAAAGAGCGACGGGGGGACUCCAAGUGCCUACGCUCAGCGUAGGCUGUUCCCGAGCCUAAAAAGCUCGGGGAGUAAGGGCUGGGUAAGACGGGUGCCAGCCGCCGCGGUAAUACCCGCAGCCCCGAGUGGUGGCCGCUAUUAUUGGGCCUAAAGCGUCCGUAGCCGGCUCGGUAAAUGCCUGGGUAAAUCGUCUGGCCCAACCAGACGAAUUCCGGGUAGACUGCCGGGCUAGGGACCGGAGGAGGGAGAGGGGUACUCCAGGGGUAGGGGUGAAAUCAGCAAGGUGAGUUGCUGAUGUAACUUGCCUUGCAAGUCACAAUCCUGUAAUCCCUGGAGGACCACCGGUGGCGAAGGCGCUCUUCUAGGACGGGUCCGACGGUGAGGGACGAAAGCCAGGGGAGCAAACCGGAUUAGAUACCCCGGUAGUCCCGCCAAGGCACACA